rnacentral:rRNA from 1 species
GAUGAACGCUGGCGGCGUGCCUAAUACAUGCAAGUCGAGCGAACAGACGAGGAGCUUGCUCCUCUGACGUUAGCGGCGGACGGGUGAGUAACACGUGGAUAACCUACCUAUAAGACUGGGAUAACUUCGGGAAACCGGAGCUAAUACCGGAUAACAUGUUGAACCGCAUGGUUUAACAGUGAAAGACGGUCUUGCUGUCACUUAUAGAUGGAUCCGCGCCGCAUUAGCUAGUUGGUAAGGUAACGGCUUACCAAGACAACGAUGCGUAGCCGACCUGAGAGGGUGAUCGGCCACACUGGAACUGAGACACGGUCCAGACUCCUACGGGAGGCAGCAGUAGGGAAUCUUCCGCAAUGGGCGAAAGCCUGACGGAGCAACGCCGCGUGAGUGAAGAAGGUCUUCGGAUCGUAAAACUCUGUUAUUAGGGAAGAACAAAUGUGUAAGUAACUAUGCACGUCUUGACGGUACCUAAUCAGAAAGCCACGGCUAACUACGUG